rnacentral:rRNA from 1 species
AUUGAACGCUGGCGGCAGGCCUAACACAUGCAAGUCGAACGAGCGGCGGACGGGUGAGUAAUGUAUGGGCAACUGCCCGAUGGCGGGGGAUAACUACUGGAAACGGUAGCUAAUACCGCAUACCAUCGGAUGAGCCCAGAUGGGAUUAGCGAGUAGGUAGGGUAACGGCUCACCUAGGCGACGAUCCCUAGCUGGUCUGAGAGGAUGACCAGCCACACUGGGACUGAGACACGGCCCAGACUCCUACGGGAGGCAGCAGUGGGGAAUAUUGCACAAUGGGCGCAAGCCUGAUGCAGCCAUGCCGCGUGUAUGAAGAAGGCCUUCGGGUUGUAAAGUACUUUCAGUGGGGAGGCGUUACCCACAGAAGAAGCACCGGCUAACUCCGUGCCAGCAGCCGCGGUAAUAC